GUCAACCUCCUCUCUCUCGAGCAUCUUAAAUGCAUCUUCAAUCAUUCUUUUUGAAGUUGAGUUUUUUGAGAGCAAAGAAUUCUUCAAUGAUUUGGUAGCAACGCCAUUCUUUUCCGCUUCUUUCACCCUAUUAUAUAGAAUGUCAUAAUAAGGGUUACUUUUAACAAGAACCAGACACCUUUUGAUCUUAGCUGUUAUCCCCACAUCCCCACAGGAGGUCCAAAAAAGUGAACAUGGAUUCGAGUAUAAGAGCUGGUAUAUUUGCCUUUACAGUGGUUACAGGUCUCAACAUUGCUUUUUGGGGCUGUUUGUUGAACCUCAUCAUCAACAUGGAUUGUUGUAUGAUCUUGGGUCUCACUAAUGUGAGUGCCUUCUGUUUCACUAUCGGAAUGAGUUGGCGAGACUCUGAAUUUUUUUUCUUCAAAAUGCCAUUCUUCACAAUCGGAUACACAAUUUGUAGUGGAAAGUAGAAAAUUAGAAAUAGCAAAAUUAAGUGGAGAAUUGAAGACAGAAAGCUGAAAUCGAAAUUGAGUUUGAUUUUUGAUAUCCGAUACAAGGUCUAUAUAUACUAAUCUCGGAUAUUUGCAAUUUAUAGUGUGAAAUUAACAUCAAGAAUACUAAUCAUCGAUCCAUCGUAUCUACGUGAGUCGAAGAUUGGAGAAAUUGAACAACCGCUAUAGAACGCGGCCUUAUCUCCCGCCCAAAUCGAUGCAUAAAAUCCGAUCGGAAGCAACAAUAAUCGACUUCAGGGACGAUCGGUUUUGACUCCAGGAACGCUAUUAGGAUCGAUUGGGAUCACUAUUAGGAUCGCGAUUGGGAUCGACCGUAUCCAAUUCGAGGUUCGCCAACAUAUCACGUACCGGACCGAUUUUGCUUCGAUUGGGUAGAGGGCGAUUGGGUACGUGGGACGCCACUAGUUGAGCGUUUUUGGUAACUAUGGCCUGACCCUCCUCAUUUCAAAAAGCGGCGAAAAUUAACUUGGAAAGAAGGAUAUUUGGCGAUGAAGGAAUCAACUAGACUUUACACAGCAAGUUGAGUGGAGACACUUAGGCCAGCUUUGCAACGGGUUUAUAUGACCAGAGCUUCUGCAUACAGAGACGCCUUAAAGAGCUUCAUACAAGGUUACCAAGAAGGCAUUCAACAAAUCAUGGAGAAGGACACCCUUGAACCUCAACAUGAAAAUAAUCACCCAAAAAAGACUAUUCGAUCUUGAAACUUCUUCUAGGUGUAUAUUGUUCUUGGAGAUAAUUCAUACAUUUUGCUUUUCCGAUUCCAAAAUCAAAUUUUGUAUCUCCCCAUGAGAGCUAAUAACAGUAUUCAGAUUUAGUGAUGUUGCAAACAGA